CGCUCACCUGCGGCCGCACGCAGCCUGUUCCUGGUCCCCCUCAGUCCCUUAGCCUGUCUUCUCGUCUCAGGACACCAUGUCAGUAGGCGGAGGAAGUCAGGAAAGGGGUGUGAGGGGUGACAGGCUGUUGGUGAGGAGUGUGUCCCCGGCCCAGCAGACCCCCGGGUGGAAAACAUGGGAGUUCAUUACUCACCCACUGUGGGCGGGGCCCAGGGCCCUGGGAGCAGAGAUGAAGGUCUGGCCCUGCGCUGAAGAACUCAGACCACGGAGUCCCUCUCGGUGGUAGGUGUGAGUUGGAAGCUGACGGUCACCUGCCUCAUCCCAGGCUCCGACCGCUCGGUCCUGGGAGGUGGGGGGUGGGAGGGGGCCGCCUCACUGGCCUCCCAACCUCCGUGUCUGUUACAGGGCUGGCACUGAGUUUGGCCUGAUGAGCCGAGUAAACACGCAGAGUGGUUCCGGCUGAGCCCAAGGCCUGGAGCACCAGGUGGGGACUUCGUCCCUGAGUCUCCAGCUCCUGCGUGACUUAAGUGGGACCAGCCUGCCGUCCGCUUCAGCUGUUCACAUGCGUCCUGCCUGACCGUGGACGGUGUAUGACGCCCGUGUGGUCACCACUCUAGAGGGAAAGUGAUGAGAUCACAGGGACGCCUCAUCAGAACCUGGGCUCACCUGAGAGCAGGAGUGGCCUGAGGCUUGGUCCCACCAGCCGCUUUUAACCAAGUUCCAGCGAAUGGGUGCUUCUGUUCCAAGGUUAACCCUUACGCUUACACUUCAAGGUACACGGUCUAGAAAUGCCAGCGUUUUUUCUAGUUUUUAUGCAACAAAACUAGAAGAAAGGCCAAUAACUGGAACUGAAUCUGAUGAGUUUGAAGCCACUCGGGGAGGCAGAGUCAGAAGACCUGUGUGUCAGGGUGGGGGUGUAUGUUCAUCGGAGGAUGUCCGUCGGGGUGAGGGCAUCCAACCUGAAUCAUGAUGCAGCAAAACGAGCAGGAAUUCGGGGAGCAGAGCACAGACUGACCCCCUGCUCUAGCAGAUGAGGGAGGCAGAGUCUGGUCGGGAGUCAUGCUCUCGGGCUGCAGAACCAGCAAUGCCCUGUCACCUCAGAUGCAGAGACUUGAGUUUGUACAACAGGGAAAGGCCAGGUGAUUUCUGACAGAAGCUAAAAGAGAAAAUAAGACCUGGAAUUUUCCCAAGAUUCAACUUAAAAAAAAAAAUAACAAGGUAGAAGUUUGGUUGUUUGUGUUACAAUAUAAAGGCUAGAAAUCCAGAUUUACAUGUAAAUUGAUGGAAUUAAUCCAAACUGCAAUUUCAGGGGAAAGCAAUGCUUGUGCCUGAGAACGCGUGGCAGGUUAGCUUGUUUUCUGCUCUUUUUUGCACGUAUUGCUUGCUUGUUUUUUAAUUGUUUCAGAGUCUUUGUUGAAAACAUCACCGUGUUUAAGGAAGUAUCUUUAUUACUCGGGUGGCUGGCUGGUGCUCUGUCCUUGAGGACGGUCUGUCAUUUCUGGAAGAUUCUCGGCCUGGCUAUGCCACCAGCAUUGACCUCACUGCAGCCGCUCCUUGGGGACUGUCCAGAGGGCCCAGGGUAGCUCUGCUCUUGGGGGGAGGGCGUGAUAGAAACCCAGAUGUGUCUGCUGUGAGCCAGAGGCGAUGGGGUGAGGAGCGAAUUCUCAUCAAGCAUGUAUUAUGCAGCAAGGCCCGAGUGUGGGCCCCCCCGGACCCUGGAUAAGGCGGUCCAACCCAGCCGGGGCGCUGGCCGUGUGGCCCUCAGCCCCGGACCCCAGGGGGCUGAGGGGGACCCGCAGAGCUCAGAGCGGGGGCCACUCUGCCACGUCACCAGAGCUGCCCGCGCUGGGGCCUGUUUACCCAUCACCAGGGACGCUGGGGCUCUUGGGCAUCAGCGCUCCGCCGUUUGUGUCUCCACAGCCAGAAUCCCCCCAAGGGACACACACACGCACCUUGCCCCAACCAAGGACGGUCCCCCAGGAGGCAGCUCCCCCAAGCAGGGUGCACCCACCUGGGGAGCCCCUUGCCAGCAGAGGGGAAGCUCCCUCCCUGGACCACGCGGCUGCACUGAGGUCACGGUCGGCAUCAAAGCCUUGGGGUUUGCCAGCCCCCGCCCCCCGGGGUCCCUCACUCUCACAGGCGCCUGAUGCCCUGGGUCCUACAGCCUCGGCCACCUUGAGUCUCCACACCUGAACUGCAGGCAGGUCUCGAAGCCCUGGCCAGAACAUCCGGGGGUCGGACGCGGGCAGCGCAGCCGUGGGAGGUGGGGAGGCCAUGGUCUGCGGUGUGUGGUUGCAUUCAAACGCCCGGACGCCCCAUGGAGGACACGUCUGCACCCCACUGCUUCUCUCCUUGCGUUCCUGAGUGUGAAAUGCUUUUCCUCUGAGCUCAACCAGGUGAAUGUAGAAAAGCAAGUCAGCUUUUGGAGCCAGGAGCCAGGAAUCAGCGUCCCUGCCUGAGGCUGGUUGGCACAGGCCGCUGCCCCCGGGUGAAGCCCAGGUCCUCAGGACCACGCAUCAGGAGGGGGAAGAGGCAGAGGCGGGCUGAGGGCUCCCUCCCAGUGGGAUGCUGCCCCACGUCCGUAAGAAGGUGGACACGGGCAGAGGAGGUGGUGAGGGGUCUCAGUGGGAGAAGCAUCAUCAGGGAAGAGCCACGUGAGGGUCCCUGCACUGGGAGUCUGGGCGGGGGGCCCGGCGGCAUCAGCUCCAGAGGAGCAACUGCCAAAGCGCUGUCCACCCCGGUGGAGGGUGUGUCAGGCCAGACUGGGUGGACUGAGGCCUGGGAUGGCCCCACGAGGCAAAGGGGGCUCCUACCUCUUUCCUGCCAUCAGAUUGCCACUGUCUUUGCGACCAGCUGUCACGUGGCGCCCUGCCUCCCGGGAUGGCUCCCGGGGUCCCUGCCAGCACCUCCUCGGCCACGCAGGGUCCUGGAGGGCAUCACAGAGGCCAGACCUCCCCUAAGGCUCCGUCUCGUGUACAGACGGGCUCUUCCCCCGCGGGCCCUGAUCUGCACCUCCAGUGUGUUUCUUUGUUCACCGUGUUCUGUAUUGUUUUGUAUGAGACCCUUUAAUAGACCGCAAAGCUUUUCUUUCCACGUGUAGGAGAAAUCUCACUGUCAAAGGCUCGUGAGGAGAAGCUCGGGACACUGGGGCUGUAGGGAUCUGGGGCCCUGGCGUUGCCUCCUCCUGUUCUCAUCCAGCUUGGAUCCAAGUCCCUGGGGAUUCCCGCAGGCCUAGCGCGCGGCGGGCCCCAAAGUGCUUUUUGGAACUGAGGAAGGUGUUUCUUCUUUAGUUUAACCCUAGUUUCUGUGGGUGCUGGCUGGCGGGUUUGCUGUUGGGAGCAGUUUGAAGGGAGUGGAACCGGCGCACAGGUCCCUCUGUACCAGAUGGAGAGGUGGUGGGGCCUCUGAGACACCAAACCUCCCGUCAGCGAGCAAAGUGUAACGGGCGGUAAUUCUGGGCUCUGCAGACUCCCUUCGUCUCGUUCCCAGGGAGGGCGGUGAGGGGCGUUCCACCGCAGACUCUCGAAGGGAAAACAGGCCGAGAGUUCAGUUUGUCAAGUCCCUUUAAAACCGCUGCCUGUUGAGCAGCCUGAACACACGGUCACGUGGCGUUAAUGCAGAGCAUUGCAGCUCGUGAUUGACCGGACUUUACUGCAAAGGCCGACAACGCCCACCCCUGUGUUGCAAGUAUUUUAGAAUCCAUUCCAGAAGCUCACUCCCCAGAUUCUGGGCAGGGCUGCUGCUGAUUCCAUUGCAUCCACUCGAGUAAACAGAAGAGGCUGAACACUUGGUGAGUUUCCCACGAUCUGGUGUCACACACACCCCACAAUGGAGGCUUGUAGCAGGAAGAUCUGGUGAUAAGCAGUGUUGGGAAGCUGACUGCCCGGCGGUCUCUGCAGGCAGGUCCCAGAGGACGCAGACUUCCUGGGAGCUCGCCGUCCGGAGCUCCACCAGCCCCGAGCAGAGGCAUAUGCCCCUGCUGCCCCGCGUGUGGGCACGAGCGGACGACGCCGGCAGCAGUGCUCGGCCGUCAGGGCAGGGGUCCCGGCCCCGGGAUGGACAUUGCUUCCCUGGACAGUCUAGCGGCCGUGCUCAUAGGUGGAGGAGGCCCCCUUCCCUCCUGUCCACACAGGGUGGGGACAGUGGACACAGCCCAGCCCAGUGGCUGCAGGGACCAACACGAAGACCGUUAGUGUCAGCCCUGCCCUUGUUCCGACCUUGACGCUGAGCAGUGUGUCUGCCCGCCUUCCAGUCCCCCUGCUGCCCACACUGUCCUGAAGCCAGGCCAUCACUCCCAGGUGACUUUGCCUGGAAUCUGAGAAGGCCCUACAGCUCCCAUGCCGUGCACAGAGCUGCAUUUUAACCGCCCUCCCCACUGCCCAAGCCCUCGUGUCAGCCUGGGAAAGGGCAUGGGGGCCACGCUGUGCCUCGGGGUCCUCCAGGGUCCUCGUGGCCUUACCGUGUUUCCACCUCCUUCCACGCACUCCCCUACCCCUGCCACCGCUCCCAGGUCAUCACAGCUGUUUCUCCUUCAGACUGGCUUUUGGACCAGCUGUCGAGGGCUCUGUGCUUCUGAUUUUUAGAGAACAUUCUGUCCUUUGAUGAGAGUGAAAUUUCACUCAUUGUCAACCCAGUUAUUCCCUCACCCCACCCCACCCCCCACCAAGCUAGCAUCCUUCAGGGACGGUCCUGGUGCUCAGGCCCCGAGAGCUUCCUUCCUGCUGAGUGUGGGCUGGGCUCAGGGGCUUCCAACAACUGGCACAGAACGACAGGGCCACCUCACCAUUGGGAUGUGACCGUUUCUGCCCGUUUCCGGCUCUGGUGGAGCAAGCCGCCAGGCUGGAGAGGCCAGAGCUGCAGGAGGCCUUCGGUGAGGAACUGAGUCCCGCCAGCGACGCCUGGGAUGACCGCCGCCUGCAGUCCGGCCGAUGGGGGCUGUGGCUGGGGACCCACGGGCCGGCCCUCAACCCUGCUGUGAGUCUGGACGUGCACCGGGCAGACGCGGGCAAUCAGGGCCCCUAAAGAGACGGUCCUGCAGACCCCACGACAGUGGCCGCAUGGAGGUCUCGCAGGGCGGGCACGGUGGGAAGAGACAGACAUGCUCUGAUUUGACAACCUGGUUCCGUGUCUCAGCUCUGCUUUUUUGAGUUUUGGUAAAACACUCAACCUCUCUGAGCCUCAGUUUCAGUGGGAAGAAGGGAUGUUUUGACAAAAAUUAGAGGAAAUCAUGGAAAACAUGACACUUUACCUGGG